rnacentral:lncRNA from 1 species
CGGGCCCAUAAAUCUUAGUCCUACGAUGGCACGUAGUUCUGGGGUAUGAGACCUCAGAAUCUUACCCAACUCGGUGCUAAAUACUACUCCCAUACUCAGCUCAGAACUCUUAGGAAAAUCCAUCUUGCAAUAACUCAAGGUUCUAUAAUAAAGACCACAUUAUGCUUCUCUUUUUUUAUUUCAAAAUGAUGUGGAUUCCUAACUUAGCUUAACGUCAAAAUAUCAAUCGUG